rnacentral:rRNA from 1 species
UACGUAGGGUGCAAGCGUUAAUCGGAAUUACUGGGCGUAAAGCGCACGUAGUCGGCUUUGCAAGUCGGGUGUGAAAUCCCCGGGCUCAACCGUGGGAACUGCUCUGAUACUGGAUGGCGUUGAGGUUGGGAGAGGGAUGGCGGAAUUCCAGGUGUAGCGGUGAAAUGCGUAGAUAUCUGGAGGAACACCGGUGGCGAAGGCGGCAUCCUGGACCAAUUCUGACACUGAGGGCGAAAGCCAGGGGAGCAAACGGG